UCGAAAUGGGAAUUCCCCGUGUAACUCUUCAAAAAAGGGGUCUCAAAAGGUAUACGAGAAAUGCUGGCAUCGUCUGACUUGUAAUUUUUGCAAAUGUUUUGGAGAUAAUAGCUUUAUUUGUGGAAAUUUUGGUCAUAAUUUCGAAGAUUCUGACACUUCAUCGUUGAUUGAUUGUAAGAAAGAUACUUCUGCACACCUAUGUUCAUCAAACGGUUCGAAAUACCCUUAUUGAUUCUGUACCGGACUAGAGUUUUAUGCGUUACCGGACAGUUAAAUAUGUCAAAAACAACGAGACCAUUACGGCAUAUAUUGGAAAAGAACACGGACAAAUGCAGUGUUCUAGACAAUUGCUCUUCCAGAAAGGCGAAGGCAGAUUGAGGUGCAUCACCAAUGUUUUGGUAUCGGUCAAGGGAGGCAAUUCAGGUUGAAGCUGUGUAUAAAGCAAUGCAGCAUUAUGCUCAAGCAAACUGAGGAAUUCUUUGGCAUGUUUGAAUGUACCUACCAGUAUUGAGGAUGAUAUACAAUGUAAGAGAAUGAACCAAACAAAACAAAGAAACUGUGAAUGAGUGUCCAAGGUGUCACGUUAGAAGCAAUGGAAAAUAUGCACAUAGAUGAACAUUAUCUGAAGUAUAGUUAUGGAUCUGAUAGCAAUGUUCAGUAUCAGAAGAGACCUUGUCAACAAUACACAUGUACUAUAAUGCUGUGUACACCAAUAUUUCUUAAUUCUACAAUUGUUAUAGACUAUGGUAUAAUACAUGAUGGGAUUACAUUAUAUUUGUCUAUUAUAUACACAUUGCAUGUAUUUAAUUUUAUGAAUCAGACUAAAAAUGUAAAUUUUUGUGUUUCUGUUAACAUGUAAGUCAAAACUGAAGUAGGCUGGUAGAAUAUACAUUAUAAUUUUUUUCUCAAACUUUUAUUUUCAAAAGAACACUAAGAGACAAUCUGAUCACAAUCUAUAUUUUUAAAGUUACAGGUACAUUAACAUAUUUGAUUUGAAGGGCUCAGUUUUUUCAGUUAAUGGUACUUUUAAAUAUGCUUGAUAUUAUUUACUUUGAAAUUAGUACAAGUGUGAACUUCAAAACAAUGUUUAUUGAAAAAUCUCUUUAACAAUAUAUAUUUUAUUUUAAAUUCAAGGGUAGGAGGUAUAAUUUCAAAACAGUGGAAACACAGUAAUUUUCAUUUUAGUCCCCAUUGUCAUUAAACAUAAUGCAAGGAUUUUGUAAAGAACUGAAUUUUUCUCUCAAAAUGCUCCAUAAGAUAGGUUAAAGGUUGUUAAAACUUAGUGGAUGAAAAUUUGUUUUUUUUUUAUUUGAUAUCAUUGUUUUAUUUUUUACCUUCAAAACAUAAAACUUGUAGUGAAGGAUUGAAGCUUAAUCAAGAUAAAUAAAAUUUAAUGAAAGUAAAGGUCAUAUUCAAAGUCACUUCUUUAUUAAAAAUAGAUCGAUAGAAACCCAAUGAAUGAAAAUCAUGUUUAAGGUCGCAUUUACAUGUAAGGUCAAAUAUAUUUCAUGCAAAUGAUGUUUUUAUUAUGUUACACAUGUUAAAUCUUGCACAAACGUCAAUCUCAUGAAAUAAUCAUUCUGUCCAUGUUCAGGGAUAAGGUUAAAUUUAUAUAAUACUAUACUGUAUCUAUUUCUACUUCAGUAAUUCUACAAGAUCUCUCAAACAUUUAGACAGCUUUGAUUGUUAUGGAUUUUUAAAUCUUAUGUACAUUGUUAAAAAAAAUCUUUGUAGAUUGUUUCAUCUACAAGAUAUUUAAGGUAGCUCAUUACACCAAGGCUCAUAUCACAAGUUAGCAAUUUGAAUGUUUUGUGAAAUUGUUUUUAUCGAUUGAUUUGGUUGCAUGUCUAUCAUUGUGGCUCAGUGAAUAAAGCAUUGCGCUGGUGAACCUUGGAUCCUGAGUUCAAAUCCGCCAUAGGCUGUUUUUCAUAGUUAAUGAUAUUAAUUUUUAAAAUCAUGUUAUUUUUAUCCAAAAUUGCAUAUUGUCUGCCUUCUUGACAUAUAUACUUAUGAUGUAUCAUAUCCUUCAUGAUGAAAUCAUUUUUGUGCUGAUUUGAAAAACUUUUUAAGUUGUAGUGAGCCACCUUACUUCUCCUUGAAAGAAGAUUGGUGUAUUGCUUUGCACAUAUUGGUAUAUCUCUCAAUUGGUUCAUAGACAGACAUGGUAUUAGAAAAGACUUUUCUGUAUAGGUUUCCUAAGGCAGGUUGAUGUAUCUUAGUACAUAACCCCUAUUCAAUUUUAGGACACUUGGUUAAAGGAGUUGGAGUAACAUAAAUAUCUCUAACGAUCAGGGGAUCAGAUUUAUGUGGUCAAACAUGUGGAUUAUUUUGAAAUUGUGCAUAUUAAUACAGUUUUGGUGAAUAAUUACUAUGAUUUGUAUAAGAUACUUUGAAUUACCAAUUUCAAAAUUAGUAUUUAUUAAAAUUUUCUUAAAAUGAGAAUGUUUUUUCCUUUGGUAUUGAUAUAAUUGUUGGUAUGGUAUGUGAAAUUCAUUGUGUGGUGGAUUUUAUCGACUUUGUCAGAUUUCCUAAUGGUAGUCUCUUCGCAUCCCUUGACGAAAUGGACAAUAUUAUUUGCCGAGCUCAAUAUUUUUAUGAGUUGGCUAUAUAUGACAGAGCUUUUACUCAAUGAACACAAAACCCUCAAACUUGGCCUACCUUGGAAGACUGAUGCCUCCGAUCAUAAGGACAAAAUGCUGAAUCAGCUAUUUUUUUUUUUGGGGGGGGUACCCAUAAUAAAGGCUCGGUACUCGAUUAUGAUAAAAUAUUUUCACCUCAUUUUUAGUUUGAUUUAUAGCAUAGAGAAGGUACUUUUUUAAGUCUGUCCAAAAUUGGACUGCCUAUCUCAGUUAUCUAUAUUUCGGGUAUCGAAAACAGCUGAAAAAGCUGUAUUUUGGCUUGAUAAUUGAUACCAAUAUGCCUCGAAUAGGUGGCGCUGU